rnacentral:rRNA from 1 species
CCUACGGGUGGCAGCAGUGGGGAAUAUUGCACAAUGGGCUAAACCCUGAUGCAGCGACGCCGCGUGAGUGAAGAAUUCUCUCUGUGCGGAAAACUCUAUCAGCAGGGGAGAAAAUGACGGUACCUGACUAAGAAGCCCCAGCUAACUACGUACCAGCAUCCGCCGUAAUACGUAGGGGGCACGCGGUAUCCGGAUUGACUGGGUGUAAAGGGAGCGUAGACGGCAGCACAAGUCUGGAGUGAAGUCCCGGGGCUUAACCCCGGAACUGCUUGGGAAACUGUGCGGCUGGAGUGGAGGAGGGGUAAGCGGAAUUCGUAGUGUAGCGGUGAAAUGCGUAGAUAUUAGGAAGAACACCGGUGGCGAAGGCAGCAUACUGGACUGCAACUGACGUUGAGGCUCGAAAGCGUGGGUAGCAAACAGGAUUAGAUACCCGAGUAGUC